CCUGUAGCGCAGUGGAUAGCGCAUUGGACUUCUAAUCCAAAGGUCAUGGGUUCGAAUCCCCCUAGAAUGG
rnacentral:tRNA from 1 species